rnacentral:rRNA from 1 species
CCUACGGGGGUCAGCAGUGAGGAAUCUUGGUCAAUGGACGAGAGUCUGAACCAGCCAAGUAGCGUGAAGGAUGACUGCCCUAUGGGUUGUAAACUUCUUUUAUAAAGGAAUAAAACGAGGCACGUGUGCCUUUUUGCAUGUACUUUAUGAAUAAGGAUCGGCUAACUCCGUUCCAGCCGCCGCGGUAAUACGGAGGAUCCGAGCGUUAUCCGGAUUUAUUGGGUUUAAAGGGAGCGUAGAUGGGUUGUUAAGUCAGUUGUGAAAGUUUGCGGCUCAACCGUAAAAUUGCAAUUGAUACUGGCAGUCUUGAGUACAGUUGAGGUAGGCGGAAUUCGUGGUGUAGCGGUGAAAUGCUUAGAUAUCACGAAGAACCCCGAUUGCGAAGGCAGCUUACUAAACUGUGACUGACAUUGAUGCUCGAAAGUGUGGGUAUCAAACAGGAUUAGAUACCCGUGUAGUC